rnacentral:rRNA from 1 species
AGUGAACGCUGGCGGUAGGCCUAACACAUGCAAGUCGAACGGCAGCACAGUAAGAGCUUGCUCUUACGGGUGGCGAGUGGCGGACGGGUGAGGAAUACAUCGGAAUCUACUUUUUCGUGGGGGAUAACGUAGGGAAACUUACGCUAAUACCGCAUACGACCUACGGGUGAAAGCAGGGGAUCUUCGGACCUUGCGCGAUUGAAUGAGCCGAUGUCGGAUUAGCUAGUUGGCGGGGUAAAUGCCCACCAAGGCGACGAUCCGUAGCUGGUCUGAGAGGAUGAUCAGCCACACUGGGACUGAGACACGGUCCAGACUCCUACGGGAGGCAGCAGUGGGGAAUAUUGGACAAUGGGCGCAAGCCUGAUCCAGCCAUACCGCGUGGGUGAAGAAGGCCUUCGGGUUGUAAAGCCCUUUUGUUGGGAAAGAAAAGCAGCAGGUUAAUACCCCGCUGUUCUGACGGUACCCAAAGAAUAAGCACCGGCUAACUUCGUG